rnacentral:miRNA from 1 species
UAAGUCGUGAUGAGUUUUUCU